GAUGAACGCUGGCGGCGUGCCUAAUACAUGCAAGUCGAGCGAACAGACGAGGAGCUUGCUCCUCUGACGUUAGCGGCGGACGGGUGAGUAACACGUGGAUCACCUACCUAUAAGACUGGGAUAACUUCGGGAAACCGGAGCUAAUACCGGAUAAUAUAUUGAACCGCAUGGUUCAAUAGUGAAAGACGGUUUUGCUGUCACUUAUAGAUGGAUCCGCGCCGGAUUAGCUAGUUGGUAAGGUAACGGCUUACCAAGGCGACGAUGCGUAGCCGACCUGAGAGGAUGAUCGGCCACACUGGAACUGAGACACGGUCCAGACUCCUACGGGAGGCAGCAGUAGGGAAUAUUCCGCAAUGGGCGAAAGCCUGACGGAGCAACGCCGCGUGAGUGAUGAAGGUCUUCGGAUCGUAAAACUCUGUUAUUAGGGAAGAACAGAUGUGGAAGUAACUAUGCACGUCUUGACGGUACCUAAUCAGAAAGCCACGGCUAACUACGUG
rnacentral:rRNA from 1 species